rnacentral:lncRNA from 1 species
GUACAACAUGUGCGUCAAUAUGUGAGCUGAAAGGAACUAAUGUCCAUUAACGCAAAUACAUUAUAGUGACGUUCGUCAAAGUAAUAUCAAAUUUUGUUUUCCACUUUCCUUAAACUGGAAAAUACACUCAACUGAGUGAGAAUAACUGUCAAUACAUUCUCUUGAACUAAAUUGUUCUUCCUCUUCGAACUAAAUUUAUCUUUUUAAAAGUGAUUUUGACUGGGGGGCAAAAUAGGUAACUGGGGGAGGGAGGGCAACUUGGGGGCUGGGUGCCUUCGCUCGAAAUGUCAAAUUUUAACUUGUAUUUUUCAGAUAGUGGGAUCCCUAUCAAUCUACAGUUUUCUCAUAUAAAAUCACUCUUUAAUUAAUUAUAUAUAGUUUUAAUCCAGCUUAUGUUAUCAUUUAUGUAUUACUUGAUAUCAUUCAUAAAGUUUUUCCGAUGAAACAGUAGUUUAUAUAAUAAUGCAGCUGCUGCUUCGGCGUCUUGCGGUGUAGACAGGCGAAGGUGCGAAACUUCUCUUCACUUCGGACAACGGGUUAUCAUAAUUUUUUCUUUUCCACGAGCCGGAGUAAACCAUGACCUUGGUCACAAAAGCCUUUCUUCCCAAGACCAUAACAGAUUCCACGGCUGCAAAAGUCACUUCUUUUGAUGAAAUAUCGAGAAAGCGGUAUCUUUUCCAGCACAAUAUGCAUCAUUGCGAAAGAAACACUUGUCUUUCAGGAAUGAAGGGGAAAGUGCUUCACAAUAAGCGACCAAUGUGCGAGUGUCAUGGUCGCUCAAGCUGUAGUAGUUGCUGUAGUCCUUGUAUUUCGGGUCUACGUAUUCAGUAUCCGAUCUAAGAACCUAAAUAGGGAACAAAAAGAAAGAAAGAGAACAACAUGUUAAGGAACAAAAAGGAAGAGCAUGUUAAGUUGUGUUUUAGUAAACCAAGGAAAUUUUGCCACUUCAUGAAUCCUAUCUGAUCACGGAGCGCAGUUACGGCACAGAAUAAAGAUCAGUACCAGAAGGGCCACUCAGCGUUGCAACGUGUCACCAUUUUUCUAUGCAAAAAUAUGCAGUUGACUGGCCAGAAGGCGGGGCCUUCAGCCAAUACAGCGCGUUUACUGGCCAGAAAAUGUAAUCGACUGGCUAGCAAGAUGGCGACCAGGG